UUUCCGUAGGUGAACCUGCGGAAGGAUCAUUAUUGUAUAACCAAGGUUCGAGGUCUGUCGCUGACCCGAAAGUGCUGGCACGGCCGGGUGCGCUCACACACGUCCAUCUCACCCCUAUGUAGACCACCGCGGGGGUCCCCCUUUGUUUUGUUCGGAGUGGGUCGUACGUUUUCACUCAUACUUUGUUUGCAGUUUAGAAUGUAUUUUUUGUUUUUGCUAUCACUCAAUCGAUACAACUUUCUACAACCAAUCGCUUGGCUCUUUCAGCGAUGAAGAACG
rnacentral:misc_RNA from 1 species